rnacentral:lncRNA from 1 species
CAUCCUUAACCUAAAAACAUCAGGGUAGAAAAUGAAACCUAGGUCACCAAGAUGCAUAAAAGGACGUUUGAACAGACUGUAUCCAGAGUGAAUACAGAGAAACACGACUCUCCCUUGAAUGUUCUGCUCACUCAGAGGAGUUCACCUGAACACCUUAAUAUUCUGAAGAGUCAUGAGAAAGAUACCAUCUUUUUCCUGCAGAGCUGUGAAAAAGGAUGCAAUAUCUGCCCUUCAGUGUUCAGUAUGCAUCACACUUCAAAAAAACCUCUAGUAUGAUCCUGACA